UACAGAGGUCUCAAGCGUUGUUCGGAUUCAUUGGGCGUAAGGGUGCGUAGGUGGCGCCGUAAGUCAGGUGUGAAAUUUCGGAGCUUAACUCCGAAACUGCAUUUGAUACUGCGGUGCUUGAGGACUGGAGAGGAGACUGGAAUUUACGGUGUAGCAGUGAAAUGCGUAGAGAUCGUGAAGGAAGACCAGUGGCGAAGGCGGGUC
rnacentral:rRNA from 1 species